CUACGGGAUGCACCAGUGGGGAAUAUUGGACAAUGGACCAAAAGUCUGAUCCAGCAAUUCUGUGUGCACGAUGACGGUUUUCGGAUUGUAAAGUGCUUUCAACAGGGAAGAAGUUCUGACGGUACCUGUAGAAGAAGCGACGGCUAAAUACGUGCCAGCAGCCGCGGUAAUACGUAUGUCGCAAGCGUUAUCCGGAUUUAUUGGGCAUAAAGGGCAUCUAGGCGGCUUAGUAAGUCUGAUGUGAAAAUGCGGGGCUCAACUCCGUAUUGCGUUGGAAACUACUAGGCUAGAGUAUUGGAGAGGUAGGCGGAACUACGUGUGUAGAGGUGAAAUUCGUAGAUAUAUGUAGGAACACCAAUGGCGAAGGCAGCUCUCUGGCCUGAUACUGACGCUGAGGUGCGAAAGCGUGGGGAGCAAACAGGAUUAGAUACCCUAGUAGUC
rnacentral:rRNA from 1 species